rnacentral:ncRNA from 1 species
GUUUCAGGGCGAGGUGCAAGUCCUCACCGGUGGUAAAAACAUUCUCAUGAAUAGUUUGAGUCCACGAGCAGAGCGAAAGCUUCUGCCGAUCUGGUGAAAUUCCAGAACCGACGGUAUAGUCCGGAUGAAAGAAA